rnacentral:rRNA from 1 species
GAUGAACGCUGGCGGCGUGCCUAAUACAUGCAAGUCGAGCGAACAGACGAGGAGCUUGCUCCUCUGACGUUAGCGGCGGACGGGUGAGUAACACGUGGAUAACCUACCUAUAAGACUGGGAUAACUUCGGGAAACCGGAGCUAAUACCGGAUAAUAUAUUGAACCGCAUGGUUCAAUAGUGAAAGACGGUUUUGCUGUCACUUAUAGAUGGAUCCGCGCCGCAUUAGCUAGUUGGUAAGGUAACGGCUUACCAAGGCAACGAUGCGUAGCCGACCUGAGAGGGUGAUCGGCCACACUGGAACUGAGACACGGUCCAGACUCCUACGGGAGGCAGCAGUAGGGAAUCUUCCGCAAUGGGCGGAAGCCUGACGGAGCAACGCCGCGUGAGUGAUGAAGGUCUUCGGAUCGUAAAACUCUGUUGUUAGGGAAGAACAAAUGUGUAAGUAACUAUGCACGUCUUGACGGUACCUAAUCAGAAAGCCACGGCUAACUACGUG